rnacentral:rRNA from 1 species
AGACGUCUACAUUAGACACCCGGGUAGUCCCAGCCGUAAACUAUGCGCGUUAGGUGUAUCGGUGACCACGAGUUUACCGAGGUUGCCCGAAGGGAAACCGUGAAACGUGCCGCCUGGGAAGUACGGUCGCAAGGCUGAAACUUAAAGGAAUUGGCGGGGAGCACCACAACGGGUGGAGCCUGCGGUUUAAUUGGACUCAACGCCGGGAAGCUCACCGGAUAAGACAGCGGAAUGAUUGCCGGGCUGAAGACUCUGCAUGACUAGCUG